CCGGUUCCGAGACACACACCGACCCGGGGGGCCGCUGCCACUGGCCCGCCGCUGCCGCCACCGCCUCUCCCUCUGUGCGUAUUUUCCAAAAAUAAUUUACCUUUGGACAGAGACAAAGCCUGGAAAGAUUCAGCUCAAAACAUGUAUGUUGGAGGCUAAUAGGGGAAGAUUGUGUAUUGUUUUUAAAUCAGAUUUAUAUUACAGUAAUGCUUAGGAGCCCUAACCAGGAUUGCAUCCAUUUUGUUAGGCAGUGUACAAACAUAAGAAGACACAGUCCCUGGCCUGAGGAGACUCCAAGCUCAUGGAAGGUCCUGAAUUGAUAACACUGGAGACUGAAGUCCUUAUUUAUCCAUCAAAUAGGGCAGCAAUAACUAAAGUUUCCUUGCACUGCUCUGCUGUUAUUCCUCAGCCCUGAAGAAACCACCUCUAAAGAUUGAGAAGAACCACUGUAGCCAGACUGACCCAUCUGUUCCUUGGAGCUUGUCUAUAAAAAGGAGAGAGAAACGUCCCUUAGAAUUUUACCUCAGAUUUGUAUGUGUUCCAGUUUGACAUCUUCCUGACAUUGCUGAUCUGUUCAGACUUGCAUCUGAGAGACACCAUCAG